rnacentral:rRNA from 1 species
CCCAGACUCCUACGGGAGGCAGCAGUGAGGAAUAUUGGUCAAUGGGCUUACGCCUGAACCAGCCAAGUCGCGUGAGGGAAGACUGCCCUAUGGGUUGUAAACCUCUUUUGUCAGGGAGCAACGCCGGCUACGUGUAGCCGGACUGAGAGUACCUGAAGAAAAAGCAUCGGCUAACUCCGUGCCAGCAGCCGCGGUAAUACGUAGGGGGCAAGCGUUAUCCGGAUUUACUGGGUGUAAAGGGAGCGUAGGCGGUUCAGCAAGUCAGAAGUGAAAGCCCGGGGCUCAACUCCGGGACUGCUUUUGAAACUGUUGAACUAGAUUGCAGGAGAGGUAAGUGGAAUUCCUAGUGUAGCGGUGAAAUGCGUAGAUAUUAGGAGGUACACCAGUGGCGAAGGCGGCUUACUGGACUGUAAAUGACGCUGAGGCUCGAAAGCGUGGGGAGCAAACAGGAUUAGAUACCCGAGUA